rnacentral:sRNA from 1 species
UCAUCACGUAUAUACUAUUUGCCAGGGA